GAUGAAGAACGUAGCGAAAUGCGAUAAGUAAUGUGAAUUGCAGAAUUCCGUGAAUCAUCGAAUCUUUGAACGCACAUUGCGCCCUCUGGUAUUCCGGGGGGCAUGCCUGUCCGAGCGUCAUUGCUGCCCUCAAGCACGGCUUGUGUGUUGGGCCCCGUCCUCCGAUCCCGGGGGACGGGCCCGAAAGGCAGCGGCGGCACCGCGUCCGGUCCUCGAGCGUAUGGGGCUUUGUCACCCGCUCUGUAGGCCCGGCCGGCGCUUGCCGAUCAACCCAAAUUUUUAUCCAGGUUGACCUCGGAUCAGGUAGGGAUACCCGCUGAACUUAAGCAUAUCAAUAAGCGGAGGA
rnacentral:misc_RNA from 1 species